CCUACGGGUGGCAGCAGUGGGGAAUAUUGCACAAUGGGGGAAACCCUGAUGCAGCGACGCCGCGUGAAGGAAGAAGUAUUUCGGUAUGUAAACCUCUAUCAGCAGGGAAGAAAAUGACGGUACCUGACUCAGAAUCCGUGGCUAACUACGUGCCAGCAGCCGCGGUAAUACGGAGGGGGCAAGCGUUAUCCGGAUGUACUGGGUGUAAAGGGAGCGUAGGCGGUUUAGCAAGUCAGAAGUGAAAGCCCGGGGCUCAACGCCGGGACUGCUUUUGAAACUGUUGAACUAGAUUGCAGGAGAGGUAAGUGGAAUGCCUGGGGUAGCGGUGAAAUGCGUAGAUAUUAGGAGGAACACCAGUGGCGAAGGCGGCUUACUGGACUGUAAAUGACGCUGAGGCUCGAAAGCGUGGGGAGCAAACAGGAUUAGAUACCCGAGUAGUC
rnacentral:rRNA from 1 species